AUGGGAAACAUCGACUUUCUCCUCCCUCUUGUGGUAUUUGUGGUGGCGUUGCACAACUCUGUGGCUACUUUGUCAGCAGAAUCACCCAACACCACCACUGACCAAUUGGCUCUUCUUGCACUAAAAGCCCGUGUCACCCAUGACCCUCUAAACUUGUUGGCAACCAACUGGACUAGUGCUACCUCUGUUUGCAACUGGAUUGGUGUCACUUGCGAAUCCCAUCAUCAAAGGGUUACCACUCUUGAUCUUUCUAACAUGAGUCUUGUAGGCUCCAUCCCAUCUCACUUGGGAAAUCUAUCUUUUCUGUCUCGGCUUAACAUCAGAUUUAAUCAUUUCCAUGGAUCAUUGCCCAUCGAAUUAGCUAAUUUGUCUUCAAUGGAAUAUAUAAAUUUUGGUCACAACAACUUUCGUGGGGAAAUCCCAUCAUGGUUUGGUUCUUUCACUCAGCUUCAGAGCUUGUUUCUACACGAUAACAAUUUCUCUGGUGUUAUCCCCUCUUCUUUGGGCUCUUUGUCAAACCUUGAGAAGUUGAUCUUGUAUGAAAAUGAUCUGAAGGGGCCUAUAGCAAUCGGAAAUCUUUCCAACUUGAAGUGGUUGUAUUUACACAAUAAUCGGCUUUCAGGUCAACUUUCACCGGCUCUAUUUGAUCAAAUUCCUAUGUUGCAAGCACUGGAUUUGGCAAACAACCUUCUUUCCGGUAGAAUUCCAACUAGUUUAUUCAAGUGCCAAGAGUUGGAAUUUUUUGUUUCAUCUAACAAUUCCUUGGAGGGAAGUGUGCCUCAAGACAUUGGGAAUUUGACAAGAUUAAGCUACUUGGAUCUUGAUAAUAACACCCUCACAGGUCAAAUUCCAUCAGCUCUAUUCAAGUGCCAAGAGUUAGAAUAUAUAUAUUUAUCUCACAAUGGCUUGGAAGGAAGUGUGCCUCGAGAGAUUGGGAAUUUGACUAGAUUAAUAGCGUUGCACCUCAAUGAUAACAACCUAAAAGGUCAACUUCCAUCGACCUUAUUCGAGCGCCAAGAGUUACAAAUUUUAAAUGUAUUCAACAAUUCCUUGGAAGGAAAUGUGCCUCUGGAAAUCAAGAAUUUGACUGGAUUAAGAGAGUUGCGUCUCUUUGGUAACAACCUAACAGGUGAAAUUCCAUCAAUCAUCGGAAGUUUGCCUUUUCUUGAGAUUCUACGCUUGGGCGAUAACAACUUGAUAGGUCGAGUUCCAGCUCUACAACCUUCAUUACGCUGCUUAGGCGUUUCGCUCAAUCAUUUAAUUGGAGAAAUCCCUUCAUCAGUUUGCAAUAUGAGUUCACUAAAUUCUCUCAUUUUGUUCAACAAUAAUUUUCAUGGAGUUAUUCCAGAAUGUCUUGGUAACUUAAGCAACUCUAUGGAAUUCAUGGAUCUAAGCAUGAAUAAUUUUCAUGGUAAAAUACCUGGAAAUUUUCAUGAAGGUUGUUCAAUGAGAAGUUUUUCCGUCAAUCACAACCAGCUAGAUGGGUCAUUACCACGCUCUUUGAUCAAUUGCUCGGAAUUGGAAAUUUUAAAUGUAGGGAACAACAAUUUAAACGGCACCUUUCCGAAUUGGUUAGGAAAUUUGAAGCUACAAGUUCUUAUCUUGCGGAAUAACAGAUUCUAUGGUCACAUUGACGACUUUGAAGGUAGAUUUUCCUUCUCUUGUUUGCGAAUCAUUGAUCUCUCUGGCAAUGACUUCAAUGGUCACUUGCCAAUGAAAUUUUUUGAAAAUCUGCAUGCUAUGAGAAGUGAAAGCAAAAGCAAAAGUCACUCAAAGUACAUGAUAUUUGCUCUGUCUACUCGAGACGGUUUAUUUUAUCAACCUUUAUAUAUUACAACAAAAGGGUUGGAGAUACACCUCGAGAGAAUCUUAACCACCUUGACCAUUAUUGAUUUUUCAAAUAAUCAAUUUAAUGGACAGAUACCUGAGAUACUUGGGGAACUUCAUUCACUUAUAGUCCUCAAUCUUUCUUACAAUAGUUUAAAGGGUCCUAUCCCUUCAGUGUUAGGGAACUUGUCAAUGCUUGAAUCAUUAGAUCUCUCAUUGAACAAGCUUGAAGGAAAAAUUCCAGCACAAUUAGUAAACCUUAUAUUCUUAGCAGUAUUAAAUCUUUCUGGGAAUAAUCUCAUGGGACUCAUUCCUCGAGGCAAACAAUUUGAUACUUUCACAAAUGAUUCCUACAUCGGAAACUUGGGUUUAUGUGGACUCCCUUUAUCAAAAAACUGUAAUGAUGAGCAGAAUUUGGAGCCACAACCAACAAAUUUUGAUGAAGACAGUGAUGCUGUGAAUUGGAAAUUUUCUAUAUUGAUGGGGUAUGGAUGUGGGUUGGUUUUGGGAUUGAGCAUGGGAUACAUUGUGUUCACAACUGGAAAACCAUGGUGGUUGGUUAAGAUCAUUGAGAGAGGUCAACAAAAAUAUGUUAUCCAACGGAAAAUCCACAGAAGCAGAGGAAGAAAAUAAUACAGCUAAUGCUCUUGGGUUGGGUAUGUGCCAACUUCCAAGGUUAGUUUCUUCCAUGGACAGUUUGGCAAAAGAAGUUCUUGACAAGAAAGGAGAUUUCUCAAUCCCGGUGUUCUGUCAGCAUUGAGCUUGGUCUUGUAGAACCACUUUGUACCAAUCACAUGCUGAUCUAUUGGU